GGAGAGUCCUUGUCAGCUGUCCAGCAUCAGUUUGCUGAGCAUAUCUGUUAACCUUGAUGUUUCCGUCGAAAACUGCCUGUCCUGAAGAAUGAGAGACGAUGCACUUGUGAAGCUGACGCGAAUAACCUCGGGGGUGAUCCAAGACUAAUUUGCUGUGUAAAUCUUGAGUUUGAUCCUUCUGGGAUAGAUGGAAGGCAGAGAGCUCUGUAA
rnacentral:misc_RNA from 1 species